AUGGAAGCUCGCAGCUGCCGCAACAAGUUCAUCCUCUACGGCCUCCUCUUCAUCGGCUCAUGGCUCCUAUCCUGCCUCCUCCACUUCCAGUUCUUGCACAUCCCUAUCUUCAGUUACACAUACGAGCCCUCAUCUUUUCACCGUGGUGCGGCAGACGGACCCACCACCAGUCUCCUGCUCUCUCCCCAGCCAGCCGUCGUCGACGAUAGGUCGUGCGACGGGCGGCGAGUGUUCAUGCUGCAUCUACCGUCACGGUUUAACCUUCUUCGCGGCUGCCUUGAGGGGUCGCCGGAGUUUGAGGAUGCGUGCAUCGUCAUGUCCAAUGCCGGCCUCGGCCCAGAGCUUGUUCCCCUCUCCGGCGACCACACCAACGGUGUCAUCCCCAAGGACGGAUGGUUCAAUACCAACCACCACGCCCUGGAGGUGAUGUUCCACACACGGAUGAGGAGGUACGAGUGCCUCACCGACAACUCGGCGGCCGCGACGGCAGUGUACGUUCCGUACUACCCCAGCCUGGAGCUGAACCACUACACCUGCGACACCAGCGCUACGGUGCGCGAUGGGCCUUCCGGGGAGUUGCUCCGGUGGCUGUCGUCGCAGCCACGGUGGGCGACGCUCGGCGGACGCGACCACUUCAUGGUCGCGUCCAAGACCACGUGGAUGUUCCCACGCAGCGGCGACGACGACAGCCAAGGCUGCGGCAACGGCUUCCUCAACCGGCCCGAGUGCUUGAACAUGACGGUGCUCACCAUCGAGUCCAACAUCUUGGAGCGGCGGGACAUGGCCGUGCCUUACCCCACAUACUUCCACCCGUCGUCCUCCAGCGAAGUUGCAGCAUGGCAGGCGCGCGCUCGCGGCGCGCACCGGCCGUGGCUGUUUGCGUUCGCCGGCGGGCGGCGUCCCAACGGCACGCUGGUCCUCCGCGACCGCGUCAUCGACAAGUGUGCAACCUCGAGCCGAUGCGGCAUGCUAGACUGCAGCCACGGCCUCGAGGGCAGCAUAACCUGCCAGUCCACGGAGAAGCUCAUGUCCCUAUUCGUCUCUUCCCACUUCUGCCUCCAGCCAUAUGGCGACUCCUUCAUGCGCCGGUCGUCCAUCGACGCGGUCGUCGCUGGCUGCAUCCCCGUCUUUUUCCAUGAGGCAUCCACCUUCGAGAAGCAGUAUCGAUGGCACGAGCUGGACAGAGGCAGGGACGGCGUCCAUUACUCGGUAUUCAUCGACCAUGACGAUGUCCUAGAAGGGAAGGUGGACAUCGAGGAGGUGCUGAGCAGGUUUACAGAUGAGGAGGUGGCCACCAUGAGAUAAGAGGUGAUCAAGAUGAUCCCGAGGUUCGUGUACACGGACCCAAGGGUGAGGUUUGAGGGGGCUAUGCGGGAUGGGUUCGAUAUCGCCAUUGAGGAGGUGAUGGCGAGGAUGACGAGGAUAGAAAACGGGGAGGAUAUGGGAUGGUAG
rnacentral:rRNA from 1 species